GAUGAACGCUGGCGGCGUGCCUAAUACAUGCAAGUCGAGCGAACAGACGAGGAGCUUGCUCCUCUGACGUUAGCGGCGGACGGGUGAGUAACACGUGGAUAACCUACCUAUAAGACUGGGAUAACUUCGGGAAACCGGAGCUAAUACCGGAUAAUAUAUUGAACCGCAUGGUUCAAUAGUGAAAGACGGUUUUGCUGUCACUUAUAGCUGGAUCCGCGCCGCAUUAGCUAGUUGGUAAGGUAACGGCUUACCAAGGCAACGAUGCGUAGCCGACCUGAGAGGGUGAUCGGCGACACUGGAGCUGAGACACGGUCCAGACUCCUACGGGAGGCAGCAGUAGGGAAUCUUCCGCAAUGGGCGAAAGCCUGACGGAGCAACGCCGCGUGAGUGAUGAAGGUCUUCGGAUCGUAAAACUCUGUUAUGAGGGAAGAACAAAUGUGUAAGUAACUAUGCACGUCUUGACGGUACCUAAUCAGAAAGCCACGGCUAACUACGUG
rnacentral:rRNA from 1 species